AUUGAACGCUGGCGGCAUGCCUUACACAUGCAAGUCGAACGGUAACAGGUCUUCGGAUGCUGACGAGUGGCGAACGGGUGAGUAAUACAUCGGAACGUGCCUAGUAGUGGGGGAUAACUACUCGAAAGAGUGGCUAAUACCGCAUGAGAUCUACGGAUGAAAGCAGGGGAUCGCAAGACCUUGUGCUACUAGAGCGGCCGAUGGCAGAUUAGGUAGUUGGUGGGAUAAAAGCUUACCAAGCCGACGAGCAGUAGCUGGUCUGAGAGGACGACCAGCCACACUGGGACUGAGACACGGCCCAGACUCCUACGGGAGGCAGCAGUGGGGAAUUUUGGACAAUGGGCGCAGGCCUGAUCCAGCCAUGCCGCGUGCGGGAAGAAGGCCUUCGGGUUGUAAACCGCUUUUGGCAGGAACGAAACGGCGCAAGCUAAUACCUUGCGCUAAUGACGGUACCUGCAGAAUAAGCACCGGCUAACUACGUGCCAGCAGCCGCGGUAACAC
rnacentral:rRNA from 1 species